rnacentral:rRNA from 1 species
UUGGAGGGCAAGUCUGGUGCCAGCAGCCGCGGUAAUUCCAGCUCCAAUAGCGUAUAUUAAAGUUGUUGCAGUUAAAAAGCUCGUAGUUGAAUUUCGGGGUUCAUCCGUUGGUCGGGCUUUUUGGUCUGUACUGGCGUGAUGGAUUCCUACCUUCUGAAUAACCAGCAUGUCAUUAAUUUGGUGCGCUGGGGAAGCAGGACUGCUACCUUGAAAAAAUUAGAGUGCUUAAAGCAGGCUAUCGCCUGAAUACAUUAGCAUGGAAUAAUGAAAUAGGACGGCAUGGUUCUAUUUUGUUGGUUUCUAGGAUCACCGUAAUGAUUAAUAGGGAUAGUUGGGGGCAUUAGUAUUCAAUUGUCAGAGGUGAAAUUCUUGGAUUUAUUGAAGACUAACUUCUGCGAAAGCAUUUGCCAAGGAUGUUUUCAUUAAUCAAGAACGAAAGUUAGGGGAUCGAAGACGAUCAGAUACCGUCGUAGUCUUAACCAUAAACUAUGCCGACUAGGGAUCGGACGAUGUUAAUUUUCUAAUGACUCGUUCGGCGCCUUACGGGAAAC